GCUUGCGCGCUGGCGUAAGGCCUAACACAUGCAAGUCGAACGGUAGCACAGAGAGCUUGCUCUCGGGUGACUAGUGGCGGACGGGUGAGUAAUGUCUGGGAAACUGCCUGAUGGAGGGGGAUAACUACUGGAAACGGUAACUAAUACCGCAUAACGUCGGGGGACCGGGGAGGGGGACCUUCCGGCCUCUUGCCAUCCGAUGUGCCCAGAUGGGAUUAGCUAGUAGGUGGGGUAACGGCUCACCUAAGCAACCAUCCCUAGCUGGUCUGAAAGGAUGACCAGCCACACUGGAACUGAGACACGGUCCACACUCCUACGGGAGGCAGCAGUGGGGAAUAUUGCAGAAUGGGCGCAAGCCUGAUGCAUCCAUGCCGCGUGUAUGAAGAAUGCCUUCUGGUUGUAAAGUACUUUCAGCGGGGAAGAAGGCGGUCAAGUUAAUAACCUUAACGAUUGACCUUACCCACAAAACAACCACCGGCUAACUCCGUGCCACCAGCCGCGGUAAUACGGAGGGUGCAAGCGUUAAUCUUAAUUACUGGGCGUAAAGCGCACGCAGGCGGUCUGUCAACAGGAUGUGAAGAUCCAUCGCGCUCAACUUGCGUAGCUACAUUCGAAUACUAGCAGGCUGGAGUCUUGUAGAGGGGGGUAGAAUUACAGGUGUAUCGGUGGAAUGCAUAUAGAUCUGGAUGAAUACCGGUGGCGAAGGCCGCCCCCUGGACAAAGACUGACACUCACGUGCGAAAGCGUGGGGAACAAACAUGAUUACAUACCCUGGUAGUCCACGCUGUAAACGAUGUCAACUUGGUAGGUUGUUCCCUUGAUGAGUGGCCUUCCGGAGCUAACGCGUUAGAGUCGACUCGCCUGGGGGCAGUACGCGACGACUAAGAUUACAACUCAAAUGACUGACGCGCGGCCCCGCACAAUGCGAGUGAGUAGUCAUGGUGAUUUCAAUGCGAUGCAACGCAAAGAACCUUACUUACUCUUGACAUCCAGGUAACUUAGCAGAGAUGCUUUGGUGCCUUCGGGAACUAUGAGACAGGUGCUGCAUGGCCGUCGUCAGCUCGUGUUGUGAAAUGUUGGGUUAAGUCCCGCAACGAGCGCAACCCUUAUCCUUUGUUGCCAGCGAUUCGGUCGGGAACUCAAAGGAGACUGCCAGUGAUAAACUGGAGGAAGGUGGGGAUGACGUCAAGUCAUCAUGGCCCUUACGAGUAGGGCUACACACGUGCUACAAUGGCAUAUACAAAGAGAAGCGACCUCGCGAGAGCAAGCGGACCUCAUAAAGUAUGUCGUAGUCCGGAUUGGAGUCUGCAACUCGACUCCAUGAAGUCGGAAUCGCUAGUAAUCGUGGAUCAGAAUGCCACGGUGAAUACGUUCCCGGGCCUUGUACACACCGCCCGUCACACCAUGGGAGUGGGUUGCAAAAGAAGUAGGUAGCUUAACCUUGGGGAGGGCGCUUACCACUUUGUGAUUCAUGACUGGGGUGAAGUCGUAUCAAGGAACCGUAG
rnacentral:rRNA from 1 species